rnacentral:rRNA from 1 species
AUUGAACGCUGGCGGCAGGCUUAACACAUGCAAGUCGAGCGGGGUGAUGGUGCUUGCACUAUCACUUAGCGGCGGACGGGUGAGUAAUGCUUAGGAAUCUGCCUAUUAGUGGGGGACAACAUCUCGAAAGGGAUGCUAAUACCGCAUACGUCCUACGGGAGAAAGCAGGGGAUCACCUGUGACCUUGCGCUAAUAGAUGAGCCUAAGUCGGAUUAGCUAGUUGGUGGGGUAAAGGCCUACCAAGGCGACGAUCUGUAGCGGGUCUGAGAGGAUGAUCCGCCACACUGGGACUGAGACACGGCCCAGAGUCCUACGGGAGGUAGCAGUGGGGAAUAUUGGACAAUGGGGGGAACCCUGAUCCAGCCAUGCCGCGUGUGUGAAGAAGGCCUUAUGGUUGUAAAGCACUUUAAGCGAAGAGGAGGCUCUUUUGGUUAAUACCCAAGAUGAGUGGACGUUACUCGCAGAAUAAGCACCGGCUAACUCUGUGCCAGCCGCCGCCGUAA